UGGGGAAUAUUGCACAAUGGGCGCAAGCCUGAUGCAGCAACGCCGCGUGAGGGACGACGGCCUUCGGGUUGUAAACCUCUUUUAGUAGGGAAGAAGCGAUGUGUUUUACACGGAGUGACGGUACCUGCAGAAAAAGCACCGGCUAACUACGUGCCAGCAGCCGCGGUAAUACGUAGGGUGCAAGCGUUAUCCGGAAUUAUUGGGCGUAAAGAGCUCGUAGGCGGUUUGUCGCGUCUGCUGUGAAAACUGGGGGCUCAACCCCCAGCCUGCAGUGGGUACGGGCAGACUAGAGUGCGGUAGGGGAGAUUGGAAUUCCUGGUGUAGCGGUGGAAUGCGCAGAUAUCAGGAGGAACACCGAUGGCGAAGGCAGAUCUCUGGGCCGUAACUGACGCUGAGGAGCGAAAGCAUGGGGAGCGAACA
rnacentral:rRNA from 1 species